rnacentral:tRNA from 1 species
GGAGGGUAUGCCGAACGGCUAAGGCAUCAGUUCGCUAAACUGAGGUCGCGAAAGCGGCCGGUGGGUUCGACUCCCACACCCUCCG